AGCAGCCGCGGUAAUUCCAGCUCCAAUAGCGUAUAUUAAAGUUGUUGCAGUUAAAAAGCUCGUAGUUGAAUUUCGAGGUCAAAUUGUCGGUCGUGCCUCGGUACGUACUGGCAUUAUUGAUUUCUCCCUUCUGACGAUCCGCGAUGUCAUUAAUUUGGUGUCGUGGGGAAUCAGGACUGUUACUUUGAAAAAAUUAGAGUGUUUAAAGCAGGCUCACGCUUGAAUACAUUAGCAUGGAAUAAUGAAAUAGGACGUUUGAUUCUAUUUUGUUGGUUUCU
rnacentral:rRNA from 1 species